UGCAGUGGCUGAUUUUGCUGGGAGACCCCAGCCUCCCCUCCCAGGCCAUUUCUGCCUGUUUUCACCCCUCCUGUGGGUCUCCUCUCUGAGCUCUGUUCUGUAGCCCCAGCUCACACUGGGUGGGUCUGAGUCACCCUCAUGUGCCAAAGCCGCCUCCCGGCCAUGUGCCCCAGAAUCCCAGGGCACGGUCUUGGCAUCACACUUGCUUCGGCUUCUCUGUGUGGAGUGCCCCAGAGAAUCUCAAGGCUGCGCUGUGUGAGACUUGGUUGGACUGAGGGCACCAAUGCCAGUGCCGGCUCACUGGGAUCCCGCUGGCCACCUAGCGAUGCCCGUCACUUUCUGGCAACAAAAGCCACCACCGUGACCUUGACGAUAACAGCUAGAAGCCAAGCUGAGCUUGGGAAGAUCUCUCAGGUCCCAGUGCAGUGACCCCUAUUUUAUACUCCACCCCCGCCCCCAUGGACACGUGAGAACCCAAGGUGCCACCAGCUGGGCAGAGGUGCCUCCCCAAGGCAGAGGUCAGAGGAACAAGAGCUGCCCAGACCCAGACGGCCGACAAGUUGCCGGUGAGGAAGGUGUGGUGUUAACAGCUGCUGGAUUCAGCAUGGCUUCUUUUGUGAUUCUGUUCCUGGAUGGAGUCUGGGAUGCCACAGGGAGCCCUAGCCUGACAAGCCACUCCUCAGGGGACAGCAGGGUCCUCUCCAGGAAGGCUGCACUCAGCCUGGCAAGAUUGGUUCACUACAUGCCGCUUUGCCAUGUGGGUGACCCAAGAGCAAGUGAGGACCCCACAGCCGCACAACCCCUUCUGCCUCAUUCUUCCUACCUAAUAAAGUCAGCCCUGAGGAGAAGUUAAGCCCCAAGUAAUAAAAAGAUUAUAGUUACUUUU